UACAUGGGGUGCAAACGUUGCUCGGAAUUAUUGGGCGUAAAGCGCGCGUAGGCGGUUACUCAAGUCGGAUGUGAAAGCCCUCGGCUUAACUGAGGAAGUGCACCCGAAACUGAGUAGCUAGAGUACCAAAGAGGGUCGCGGAAUUCCCGGUGUAGAGGUGAAAUUCGUAGAUAUCGGGAGGAACACCGGUGGCGAAGGCGGCGACCUGGGUAGAUACUGACGCUGAGGCGCGAAAGCGUGGGGAGCAAACAGG
rnacentral:rRNA from 1 species